CUUGGUCAUUUAGAGGAAGUAAAAGUCGUAACAAGGUUUCCGUAGGUGAACCUGCGGAAGGAUCAUUACAGAGAUCAUGCCCUUCGGGGUAGACCUCCCACCCUUUGUUAUACCAACGAAUGUUGCUUUGGCGAGCCGCCCUAGGCCGUCGGCCUCGGCUGACGCGUGCUCGCCAGAGACCCCAAACUCUGUAUCAGUGUCGUCUGAGUACUAUAUAAUAGUUAAAACUUUCAACAACGGAUCUCUUGGUUCUGGCAUCGAUGAAGAACGCAGCGAAAUGCGAUAAGUAAUGUGAAUUGCAGAAUUCAGUGAAUCAUCGAAUCUUUGAACGCACAUUGCGCCCCUUGGUAUUCCGGGGGGCAUGCCUGUUCGAGCGUCAUUUCAACCCUCAAGCUCUGCUUGGUCUUGGGCCCUGCCGGCAACGGCUGGCCUCAAAAGUAGUGGCGGCGCCAUCGUGCUCUCAGCGUAGUAAUUCUUCUCGCUGUUGGGUCCCGGUGGACGCUGGCCAGCAACCCCCCAUUUCUAAUGUUGACCUCGGAUCAGGUAGGGAUACCCGCUGAACUUAAGCAUAUCAAUAAGCGGAGGA
rnacentral:rRNA from 1 species